rnacentral:lncRNA from 1 species
GGGCCCCUUCUAGCACCAAUCUUUUGGUGCUAAAGUUCAUUGACGCCAGAUUCACUGGAGUUGCAGGUGUGAACAGAGCCUCUAGGUGGUGUACCUGCAAAAAGUUUGAAUUGAAAGAGAUUCUGAUGGGGACCCUCCAAUUCUCAAGUCAGCUAGUAGAACCAACAGAUAGAGGAACGCCAGGCUUAAAAAAUAUUAUGUACCUGGGUCUCUCUUUUUUAUCUCCUUUUAUAGAUAAAGG